UACGAAGGGGGCUAGCGUUGUUCGGAAUUACUGGGCGUAAAGGGCGCGUAGGCGGCCAUUCAAGUUAGGUGUGAAAGCCCUGGGCUCAACCUAGGAAUUGCACUUGAUACUGUUUGGCUUGAGUUCGGGAGAGGUGAGUGGAAUUCCCAGUGUAGAGGUGAAAUUCGUAGAUAUUGGGAAGAACACCAGUGGCGAAGGCGGCUCACUGGACCGACACUGACGCUGAGGCGCGAAAGCGUGGGGAGCAAACAGGG
rnacentral:rRNA from 1 species